GAGUUGAUGUGUGUUUUAUAUAGGUUACACCACUCGGUGUUUAGGAGUAACAUCCCUUGUAACUGUUGUUGUCAACCAAGAUCAUGGAUGGCAUACCAGCUGAUUUUGGUACAUCUUAUGGUGAAGAGUAGUUCAGGCAAGACCAGUAUGUGGUACAUAAUACUUGCUAAUUGUAUUGCAAGGGACACAAGAAGAAUAGGUGCAACAAUUUCCUCUUCUGAUGAUUGGGAAAUUACAUUUGAAAGUAUCACAGAUCUCCAGUGGCUGGGAAGUGGAGCCCAUGGGCCUGUGUUUCUUGGCAAACUCUGUAAUGAAGAAGUAGCAGUCAAGAAGGUCAGAGAUGUUAAAGAGAUAGACAUUUGGAACUUAAGGAAACUGAAUCACCCAAACAUUAUAGCCUUCAAUGUUCUUGUGGCAUCCAAUGAUAUUGUCAGGAACCAGCCGAGAGUGGAAUGAAAAAAAAAGCACUAAAAUGUCAUUUGCUGGCACUGUGGCCUGAAUGGCAUCAGAAGUCAUUUGAAAUAAAAUGUGUAGUGAAAUGAAAAAGUAGACAUUUGGAAUGCAAAGCUCAAAAAUAGACCAUCAUUUAGACAAAUUCUCAUGCACCUUGAGAUUGCCUCUGCUAAAUUACUUUGAUUCAGUCGGGAGGACUUUUCUGAAUCUCAAUGAAGUCCUUAACUGAAAGACACAGAUUCUGUCAUUAUCAUCAAGAUAUUCUAAGAAAGGAUCUGAGGUGAGAACAAUUACUGACUAUGUACAACAAUAGUAGAAAGAGUAUAAUUCGUCCAAUCAUAAAAGUUCUCGAAAAGCUAGAUCGACUUGGUAAAAAAACUGACACAUAGGUCAGAGUCUGAAGUCACCAUGCCUGACUCUAUAAAAAACACAGAAGGGAGCAUGACAACCAGGUCUUAGCUGGUACCACCACCUCCUACGAAAAUGCGUGCCAGGAAGCGUCGUCAUCAUCGCAAUAACAGCAGAGGUUCUAUGAAAGACAUUACCUCUCCGCUCAAAUCUCAAUCUACAUAUGAAGCUUCACUGGACACCCAAACAUCAGACAAACUAAACCCUCAGGGCUUCAUCCUACUGACCUAUGCUAAGACAUUAAACUUUUUGGGACCUGCCACUGCAAUCAGGGAGUAUCGAAGUGAAGAUGAAGCUGAUGGGCAAGAGACCAGGUUAACAACAUUAAAAAACGUCAAGUUCCUUGUAGCAAAAACUUAUCCACUUCUGCCGCAAGGCACUCGCCAAUCGCAAAACAUUCUCCUGUAAGUAAAAGCAGAACUCAUCCUAUCAAGACAAUAACUUUAACAAUGUUUGCUUUGGCUGUGAUGGUGGCUGCAGUAUGCUACUUGUAGGAGCAAAUGCUCAUCCCAGGUCAGUGCUGAUGUGGAGAGCAUAUGUGACCUAUCCCCUCUGCCCAGCCCAAAACAGAACUUGGAAACUAUGAGUGAAAAAUCCUUUCCGGAUAUUGAUCUCUCAUCCCGACCUGAAACCUUUAUUUCAAUGCUGACAUAACAAACAGAUGGUUUGGUUAUUGUUGUAUUUGAAAAACACAAAUGUCUACCAAAAUUGAGGCCCACUUUCUUCAAUUCUUUACAAAGGUAACCUGCUAAUCAUAAAUAUGUUAAAAGGAUGAAGUUUGUGAUAGGCUUCUUCAAAAGUUGGUUCCAAUAAAAAUUAAACUGAGUUAAUUCAUAACUAUCAAUUUUAACCAGGUGUAAUAGUUUGUAUUUCAAAUGUCUAAUAAGUCCACUUGGGCAUUAUUUGUUUAUUGGGAGCACUGUUUGAUUAGCCAGUGCACUAGGAGUUUUGUCUCUUUCAUAAAAAUGAGCAUUUUAAAAAAUUUCCUUUAAACUUAAAGAUGACUCAUUUUUAAAAGCUAAUUGCAUUCAAGGUUUGGGCUGCAGAUUGGCUUAGUGUCAAUGAACGUUGAAUGGUGUAAUACUGGGUUCUUGCUUCCUGAAGUACUCUAGACACGUGACAAGACAAACACUAUACGACUGACUCAAGUCCGUUCAGCAGACAACAUGAAGUUUAUUUUACUAAAAUAAUAAUAAUAAUAUACUGCACUCCUUGUUAGUGCUACAAGUCAAGAAAUAAUAACAAUCCUAUCCGCAUAGCAGCGGUAACAAAUGUAUCAAUCACGUCCGCACCUCAGCGGGUAACAAUAAGAACAAUUACUACUAGUGACACUGGAGCUUCAACUAUAGAUAUCCAUUGAAAUACGAAUAAUACCUUAAUAUUCAAUAAGCACAUAAUGAAAUCAACUCUCAAAUAUUAUUAAGCAACAAUCAUUAGUCCAUCGACUUUCAUGCUAUAUACAUAUAUACACCAGUCCAGGAAGAAACGUCCAUUCUUCCUGGACCGGGAGCAAGACCUUACUGACUUGACUUGACUGAACUCCAAGUCAACUUUAUUCAUUCUACUUCCUGUUUUCUACAUCAGGAAUUCCAUGUGUCUUUUAAACUAUUAACAUGACGUGAACUUUAGAUCAUGCAAUGUCAACUAAGACUGACAAUUAGCCAAUACGCAAGGAACUACUGAAUAUUGGUAAUAAGCUAAUACACAGGAAAAUAGAAUUUAUUGACUGUUGCUAACAACCAAUAUAAAAAGGAUUUUCAGCCAGUGCAUGUUUUCAAGAGGGGAAAAGUUCUCUUAAAUAACUACAAACAAUGAUUUCAUUGGCAGUUUUCUUUGCUUCUUUUCUCCUCAUUUUCAUCUUUGCUAAUGACACAUUUAUUUGUUUAAUAACAAUAUUUUAUCAAAUCUUUGAAAUAUAAACAAUAAUUUGAAACUAACAUAUCACAUUUUUUACAACUGUUUUGUUAUGUAUCUUAGAACAUGGUAACCACUAUUGGCAAUCCCAGAUAAGAAUAAAAAUAGAUGCACAUUUUUUCAUGUCUUUUUUUUGCAUUCUUAAAAAGAAUGUAUGCAGCCAAAACAGUGUUACCCAACCUAGAGCCUGCAGGCCAUAUCUGACCCAUGAUGCAGUGCAGUUUGGCUUUUGAAGCUUCUGCUCAUGGUGCAAGAGACCAAUUUCAUUGGACUUGCCUUUUUUUUAUGUGGCUCAUGACAUGUAAAAGAAAUUCAGCCUUCAGGCUGGAAAAGGUUGGGCAGCACUGACCUAAAUCAUCCCUUUUGAGUUUUGUCCACAUCAAUACAUGAUUUUAUUUCCUGUCCAAUUUUUCAUAGACCUAAAAAACGUGUAGGAUUUUUUAAAUGUUGAUAGAACAGAAAGAAAAAAAAAGUUUUCUUUUUCAGGGUGGGGUGCUCUGUAACCUUAAGUUUUUGGACUAGUAUUUAAAAAUAGUGUUCAGUCCUACAAAAAGAUUUGUUUUUUGAGACUUAAAAUUGUUUUGUUGUUUUAUAAGGUCAAUUUUUUAAAUGUCAUCACCUCCAACUUGAAUUAUUCUCAAUAUGAAAAACAAAGUGUGAAUUAUUUUGUCAUAGAAACAUUUAUUAAACAUAAACUGAAAAAAAAAAGUUAAAUAUUAUAUAAAUAUUGUAUAUUACAAUAGCUCAUGAUUUUUACUAACGAGUUUCACUUCAGUUUCUCUGUGGCUAAUUACUCUUAUUUCAUACAUUUAUAAGUGUAUAUUUGUUUGUAUAGAUCUUUAUUUAUUUUAACACACAUCUUCUUUUCUCUAGAACUGUUCUUAAAGUUUACCAGUGACAUUUGUAUUAGAUCUCCAGAUGAUACUUGUUUUUAUUUGACCACAUAAAUUUGUCAUUAUUCCAUUCAUUAGACAAACUGCAAAAGUUUUGCUGGAUAAAACUUGCUUCAUCAAAACAUUGGUUUUGCUGGCUGGACUAUCACCUUGAUUCUACCUCUUAUUGAAAAGAGUUCAUCUUAGUUUAUGCUUUUGUUUAACUUUUGCACUCUCAAAUCUACUAAACGUUAAUCAUAGAAAAGUAAUGAAACAUUUUUUUUUUCUUUGCCAUGUCUACUACCCUUGUUAAAAUAGAUACAAUUGUGAGGGAGUUUUUAAAAUGUAAUUUGCUAGAUUACUAGAACAACCACUCAUUGAAAUUCAUUUUAGUGGAAAGGGGAGGGGGGGGGGGGGGACAAAAAAGUGUUUUCUAUGUUGUUUUGUUGUAUGCUUUAUUUUAAUUGACAUUUAUUUUCUUUUGUUAUUCAUUCUCUAAGUACCAGUAUGAAGAAACCAAAACAAGCUGCUGAGGGAACAUCUGAUUAAUACUUUUUUAUAUAUAUAAAUUAUAUUUGGUAGCGUUUUUUUUAGGGUUUUUUUUCUAAAGCCUUUAUUGUUGACUUAAUUUAAAAUAUUCUUUUAUCUCAGAUUUGUGAUUAGUACAUUAAAACAAAAACAAUUUUGUAAUAUAUAUUAUUAUUCAUCACUGUUACUAAUCCAUAUUUUUUUUUUUACAUUUAAACACCUUGUAUAUUGACAGAACUCUUUUGUGUUCUCCUGAUUCCUACAAUCAUUCUAGUGGCAGCCAUUUUAUUUCUUGUCAUUUGUAGAACUAUGAUUCAGUUGUUGUUGUUGUGAAUUAGUUCUGCCAAUGGUUAUUUAUGUAUUUAUAUGGUUUAACAUUUUUUUUAAAUUAUUGUAAAGACAAUCUAAAUAAUGCCUGUCCUGUCCUGUCAGGACUUUAUUUAUGAUUAGAUUUUUAAAUGUCUAGGUAAUUAAGUAAAAUUUUAAUUGCAAUAUGUGUGUGUAUUAAAGAAUAAUUGUUAUCUUUUGCUUGAUGA